rnacentral:tRNA from 1 species
GCGACGUAGCUCAGAUGGAUAGAGUUCUUGGUUUCGACGUAUGUGAGCAGGUGACACUCCCAUAUACGGCCAAGAGGGUCGCAGGUUCAAGUCCUGCCGUCGCACCA